UAAAUUUCAGCGCAAGGGCACAUGCCGUAUAAAUUUUAAUUUAUUUGAUAUGUAAACAAUUUAAAACCGUAAAGCUGAAACCGUAUACCUAAUGUAAUUAACAGGAAAAUGUAUAUCAGUACACAAUAAGUUAUAUACACAUAGCCUACAAUGUAAAAAUUCUUCUGCUGAGGGGGGAGAAUGUAACGAG